rnacentral:rRNA from 1 species
UACAAACGCUGGCGGCGUGCCUAACACAUGCAGGUCGUACGAGAAAGGGUCCUUCGGGGCCUGAGUAAAGUGGCGCACGGGUGAGUAACGCGUGGAUAAUCUGCCCUUCAGUUGGGAAUAACUCAUCGAAAGGUGGGCUAAUACCGAAUAAUGCUGUGAGACCUCGGUUGAUCAGCCAAAGAGAGCCUCUGCUUGCAAGCCCUCGCUGAAGGAUGAGUCCGCGUACCAUUAGCUAGUUGGUAGGGUAAUGGCCUACCAAGGCGACGAUGGUUAGCUGGUCUGAGAGGAUGAUCAGCCACACUGGAACUGAGACACGGUCCAGACUCCUACGGGAGGCAGCAGUGAGGAAUUUUGCGCAAUGGGGGCAACCCUGACGCAGCAACGCCGCGUGAGUGAGGAAGGUCUUCGGAUCGUAAAGCUCUGUCGGAUGGAAAGAACCGCAUAGGGGUAAACAGCCCCUGUGUCUGACGGUACCAUCAAAGGAAGCACCGGCUAACUCCGUGCCAGCCGCCGCCGUAACAC